rnacentral:rRNA from 1 species
UACGAAGGUGGCAAGCGUUACUCGGAAUUACUAGGCGUAAAGGGCAGGUAGGUGGUUUGGUAAGUCUGUUGUGGAAGCUCCCGGCUUAACUGGGAGAGGUCAACGGAAACUACCAAACUUGAGUGUAGGAGAGGGUACUGGAAUUCCCGGUGUAGCGGUGAAAUGCGCAGAGAUCGGGAGGAACACCAAUGGCGAAAGCAGGUACCUGGACUAUUACUGACACUAAGCUGCGAAAGCUAGGGGAGCAAACAGG